GAGUUUGAACCUGGCUCAGGAUGAACGCUGGCGGCGUGCUUAACACAUGCAAGUCGAACGGAGCACCCCUGAAGGAGUUUUCGGACAACUGAUGGGAAUGCUUAGUGGCGGACGGGUGAGUAACGCGUGAGCAACCUGCCUUGGAGUGGGGAAUAACAGCUGGAAACAGCUGCUAAUACCGCAUAAUAUGUCUGAACCGCAUGGCUCUGGACAUCAAAGAUUUAUCGCUCUGGGAUGGACUCGCGUCUGAUUAGCUAGUUGGUGGGGCAACGGCCCACCAAGGCGACGAUCAGUAGCCGGACUGAGAGGUUGGCCGGCCACAUUGGGACUGAGACACGGCCCAGACUCCUACGGGAGGCAGCAGUGGGGAAUAUUGGGCAAUGGGCGCAAGCCUGACCCAGCAACGCCGCGUGAAGGAAGAAGGCUUUCGGGUUGUAAACUUCUUUUCUCAGGGACGAAGCAAGUGACGGUACCUGAGGAAUAAGCCACG
rnacentral:rRNA from 1 species